AGCAUCUCCGUGCAGUGGAAGCUGAAGGUGUUGCACGGAGCUGACGAAUGCAGCUCUCCAGGCACUGACUCGAGGGGUGACACAAAGGACAUGAGUCACGGUGCAUCAAUUUUCCAAUCCAGAGAUAUUCCUCCCAUGUGCCAACUGGUGGGAUGGACUUUUCAUCUUACUGGCAAUGUUUGAACCCUCCUUCUCUGUAAUGGUUUUUUUUCCUUCCUUAUGAGAAUUAAUUGAAUCAAAAAUUACUUAAAUUGUCAGGUGUCUGUUUUGAUUUAAAUAGUGUCUUUUAAAACUUGUUCUGCAUUUGUAGCAUAGAGUUGUGUUGCUUGGGAGAAGUUCAGUCUCAGUUUUCACCAGCAGGACAGCACAUUUAGUACCUAUUUGUGAGAAACAGGUGGGUAAAGAACUGCAUUUACACAUAAUAAUGUAACAACACAUAUUAAGAAGCUGUCCAGGUCUGUAGAGAAGAUACUAGGAGGCAAAAGAUUCCCUUUAAUUAAUCAUCUCAUACUUUGCUCCAAAAGGCUCAAACUCCAGCUCAACCAAAGGGCAUUGAACAAAGGGUUGUAAUUUAAACCACUGGUACCUGUGAAAGCUGGAGAGCCUCAGUUCCUUCCCCAUUGUCAUCAGGACUUCCACGUGCCCCUGUCUGCCCUGCAUCAUCUCAGGAUUUGCUGCUUGGUCUUUCCAGUUAAAGUGAUUAUGUUUUUAAUUUGUGAUUCAUGACAGAGUGCUUCAGAUGAAAAUUGCAAUUCAAGGAAAGUCACAAACUCAUACCUUAUGAAGGCAUUUUAUUUGCUAGCUGAGACUGUGUGAAGUUUGCUGGAUGUAUCAGAAAAUAAAGAGAUGAGUGCUGGCAAGCUGCAAUACCGCAGAGAAGGGAAGGUCUGGAGCUGCAGUAGGAGUAAGGAACUUGGAAAAAUGCAACUGGUGCGGAAGAGUGAACAAGGUCACUGGUGACAAGGCUCUGCUCCAUCUGUGCCGGCACACUCCUGAGCAGAAUCAUUCCAGCAACGUGGCAUUUCGUCACAUAAUUCCUUUCCUUCCCAGUUUCAAUAGCUGGUUAUUUCCCUGCCUUUGCAGGUGCUUUUGGGGUGAAUGAGGAACAUUAAGCAUGUAUUUGAUUGAAGUAUCUCUGUGUACUUCAAGAAGACCUCAAGGAUCUUAACCUCACAUCAAAGGCAAUGUGAGUAUAUUGCCCUGAGUACAGCUUGCUAGAAAAUGCUCUUCCCCCAGCUGGUUCAAGAAGAUCAAUGCUGGAAUUGAUAGAUAUAUACCCCACAAUAUGCUACUGUUCCUCUAAAAA
rnacentral:lncRNA from 1 species